GGCAGACACCGGACCCUCUGUGUUGGGUGGGGCCGAGAGGGCGCGGCGCUGCUCAGAGACCGGUGGGAACCACAGCGGGUUAGGGACUCCUGGAGGCAGCCGUGGGGCUGAAUAGCCAGCUCUAUCUGACAUUUAUUUGUGAGAGAGUUUCUUAGAGUUGGCGUGACCUCCUCUGGUAUCCUAUCCGGAGGGAGGCUGAAGUGUGGGUUCCAGCAGUGGCACUGAAUGGAUUUACCUUUUCCCCUGCCUUUUCCUCUAGUUACUAGAGUCUACCAGAAGCUUUUCUUUGCACCACUGUAUUGAGAGUGGGUACCUGAGAAAUCCCGCUGGAGGCUGACACAGAAUCACCAGAAUGCCAGCUAAAGAUGGAGGAAGGAACAAUUAUGACUGACAGUAGAGUUCAAGUGUUGAGAAGUGAUAUGAAGACACAUUCAGAGAAGACUGGAGAACUGAAGUUUCCUAACAGCAGCAGAAAUCUUGCAAAGGGGAAUGAAUGGGUUUUCUGAGGGCUUGCGCUGGGCACUUGAACCAACCCAAUUGUCCCUCAAGAAGGAAGACACACAAAAUGGGGAAGUACAAAACACAGCACAAAAGCAGAAUUCUCUUGGAGUAAGUACCUUCGUUACUGCUGGCAACUGCCUUGGGAUAAUUUCUUUAUGUGGCUUCUUUAUAUACAUGACAUGCGUGGAAGGCUUUAUAAGUGCCAUACAUCAUACCGUUUUAAGGGACUUAAUGCAUUGCUGUGUCUCCAGACUUUGAUGCCAGUGAUGGUUAAUCCUGGUUGUCACCUGGACCCAUCUGAGUGCUGCCAGGCACUCCUGAGAGGGAUUUUCCUGACCAGGUUAUCUGAAGCAGGAAGGCUGCCCUAAAUGAAACCCUGACUAAAACAGGACUAAAUUUCUGAUUUGCACUGUAAUAUACAAAGGUGUUCCUUUGUUCUUCAUGGUUGUUGGAGAUCAAGGACCACCCACCAGGUAAGCAUUUCUUCUGAAGAUGCUGUAGUACCAGUCUGAAAAAUGCAAAUCUGAGGAAUUUGGCAGAGGUCUAAAGUGAUGGCUGUAAAGGAAGAAAUUAAAAUAUGACAUCAAACAAAUGAACAAAUGAAUAAUCAGUGGCAGGAAAUUCAGAUAAUUUUCUAGACGACAAAGAGUGAUGGAGCCUGAAUAACAGAACCUGAAGACAGUUCUCAUGGUGAGAAAUAGAAGCAAAAAAGGAACAUGGAAGCAAUGAGGCAGUUGGGUAAAGAGAAAAAGAAAAAGAAAACCAGAAAUGUUAAAGAAUAAAGGGUGGAUGAGGGAAACUGGUACAGUAAGAUACACAACAAACAAGAACAGAGGGACCACUCAGGAACACAAGACAGGAUUGAUGACUCCCUACCAUCACUGAAAUGGAACACAUGACUGUGGUAGAGCUGGCGGGUUGUGUCUAGAGAUGAGAUAGUGGCUAGGAUUUGAAACAGGAAAGACUCAGUGGGAUGUUGGCCCGUUUAGUUGUACCUAAUCAAUUUUCAACUCAAAUACUCAUUUUCGUUUUUUAAAUUAGCAUUUAAGGAGGAGAAUAAGAGGUAGCUUGCUUGCCUGGAAGUAAAAGCAAUGCCCAGAAAGUCUAGGGACCAAAGUGUUAACUGGGGUUGUUGUGGGCCGAGAGGACUUACUGCAAUUCAAUUGUUGCGAAAGUCACGCAGAGGGCAGAGAACAGAAAUAGAGAUGGAUUGUACAGAGCCCAAGGCAAGUGCAAAAGCCCUUUUAAUUUCUGCUCUCUAUAGGUAGGCAUGGAGCUGCAGCACCUGCCAGAAGGAUCAGACAGAGUGGGGGACCAGUGAAUGAGCCAGCUGGAGAUGGGUCCAGCUGCUCUGCUUCAUCCCACACCAGAUUCUUAGGCAUAUGUUUCUUCUUUCCUGGGUCUCAGUUUUCUCACCAGAGAAAUGGGCUUAACUGUACACACUCCUUAGUGUCCCAGACAGUCUGACAUAUUAUAAAUACUUUGCCAUGGCGUGCCUAUGAACACAGGCAAAUUGUGGGGUGUAUUUUGAGUAGAAAGGUGGUAUAUUUGUUUUUGGAACCCUUCCAGUCUCCAUGGAGGAGUGUUUAUUUUUAAUUAGCCCUCUCUGGGCCCCAGAACACUGGAUUUUAUCUCUAGGAAGUACCACCUAUUCAAUAGAUACAAAUCAAUAGAUACAUAUGAAGAGUCUACUAUAUGCCAGGCACUGUGCUAGGCAUUUAGACUCAAAGAUGCCUUGAAUAACACAUUCAUCUCGUUGGAAUUCAUAGUCUAAAAAAGAAACAAUAGUUAAUAGAAAGUGGUGUCUUGGUGUAGAAGCCCUAACAGAGUGUGGUGGAAAGGUAGGGGAGGUGGAGAGGAGGGGCCUGAGGGAGAACCCCAGGGCCAUCUGCUCCAGGAUCAGUAAGAGAUGGUCUUCAGGAGAGGGUGGGAGAAGACAGCUGUGGCAGAGCCUGAGCUUGUUAAGACAUGUGGAGGUGCUUGCAAGUUAGGAAACAAAAAGAUAGCUACUGUGGGUGAAGCCUGAGUUAAGGACAGAAUGGGGAAAGAUAAAGGGUGACACAUUAUGGUUGCUGGAUGUCAAACCCAUUAGAGGAAUUUGGGACACAGGAAAGCAUUUGGGUUUGAACACAUGAUAGCUUUCCUUGGAUAAAUUGCACUUAGUCGUGAUGGCUUGUCCUUUCUCUAUAUUGUUAGAGUAGGCUUGCUAAUUUGGUAAUGGUUUUGUGGGUUUCUUUACUGUAACAUUAUGGUCUGUUUGGGUGGGGUAUUAAGAUAGUGCUGGCCCCGUGGAAUAAGUUGGAAAUGUCCUUCCCAGGUAUUAGUUUUAUGCUAUGGCUUGUUACAGAUUAACACAAAAUUAGCAGCUUCAAGCCAUGAAAACACAUUAGGUGUGGCAGCAUGUGUCUAUAGUCUGGCAGUGGUGAGCGGCCUAAAGGAGGACAGCUAGUUCUGGGCCAGCCUGGACUAUGCUCUAAGUUCAGCCCAGACUGUAGUGAGCUUGAGCUCUGACUGGAAUUAGUGAGACAUUUCCUCAAAAACUCAAACCCCGAACCACGGGCACCAGCACCACCAGGACCACCACCCCAGCAACACCACCACCUCCAGUACCACCAGCAACAUCAGGACCACCUCCAGAAACACCACCAGCAACAUGAGCACCAACAGGACCAACAGGACCACCUUCAGCAACAUCAGCACCAGCAUCACUAGCACCAACAGGACCACCUCUGGCCACAUCAGUACCAGCAUCAGCACCAGCACCCCCAGCAGCACUGUGACUUACACCAGUACAGUAAACAGUAAACUAAAACAGUAAAAAUGAAAAUGUGUUAUCUAAAGUUCUUGGGGGCCAGACUUCAAAGUGAUUUUUACUGAGUGAGAUAGUGGUGUUAGCAGUUCCCAUUAGUUUCUCCUGUCUCGGGCAGUUUUCUCACAGACAGGUGCUAAUCAGCACAGGUGGCCUCUGUAGCCUUCGGUUCCAUGUCUGCCGAUUUAUUUACUCAUCCUUGUGUGGAGCAUAUUCUUAAAAAGCUGUGUUUAUACUCAAUUUUGUAGUGACCGUUGUUCCCCUCUCAUUACUCUCUAAACAACUCAACAUGGCCAUGAUUCACACAGCAUUUGCGCUGUGAUGUGUAUAAGUAGCCUAAUGAAUGAAGUAAUGAACGAAGUCAUCAGAGUGUGUGUGUAGGCUGCACCCAUGUGAACUACGCCAUUUUACAUACUGGACUUAAGUGUCCUCAGAUGUUCGUGUUUGUGGGGUUUCCUGGAACCAAUUCACUGUGGAGACCAUGGAACAGCCAUAUUCAUUAACCUAUCCAAGAGAAGUCCUUUGUCCAUCUCCACAGAUCUCUCACUGAGAAGGUAAGUUCUGUUAGUCAGUAAUCUAUCACUAUAACAACAACAACAACAACAACAACAACAACAACAACAAACUUGAGAUAAACCACUUACAAUGAGGGGGGGGGUUCCCUUUCACUCAGGGUUUCAGUCCACUGCCUUUUGAUUCCAUCACUUUGGGCCUAGAGCAAGGCAGAUCAUGUUGGUGGGGAGAGUUAUUGAGUAAAGCCACUUAGCUCAUGGUGCCAGGAAGAGGAGAGAAAGGACACAAGAGGCUGAGGGAGGCCUCAAUGUCCCCUUCAUAAAUACAGGCCUUUGAGGAACAGUCUAGACACCAACUCUAUUUGUUCCCUCUGAUAGUUUGCUCAAUGAAAUCUAGCUGCCUUGGGCUUUCUAACCACACAAUUCCAUCUCUUCAGUUCAGGUAAAUCCCCUUUACCUGGAAAAUGUCCUUUUCUGUUGUGAGUUCAAUAAACUUUCCUGGGCUGGAUCUGAGACAUAUUUUACUUAGUGUCCACCUAUUUUGUUCCUUCUUUUUUUUUUAAUUAUAUAAUACCAGGGUAUUUUUUCAGUAGACUGCGUUUAGUUUUGUUGUUUCAUAAGGGGGCUGAUUUGGUUCAUCCUUAUGCCACCUUGUUGAA